rnacentral:misc_RNA from 1 species
UAGAUAUAUUAAUAUUAUUCGAUAAGAUAAGAAAUAUUCCAAAGGGUAUAAUUGGAAUCAGUCAGUCAUUUCGAAAGGUGUUCAACGCACUGGAAGCAAAGCUUUACAUUGUGCUGUGAUGUUUAGGACUACAAAUUUUAAGAAAAACAAUUUGGAUCAAAGACACAAAAGAUUUUUGUGGUUAUUGCCUUGUCUAAUUAUAUUUUGUGCUACUAUUAAUAAGCUAUUUCGGAACAGUUUAGAAAGUAAUCUUUAUAAGUCGACUGAUAAUGAACUACAAUAUAAAGAUUACUCGUCGCGAAAAAUUCUACAGUCCAUUAAUACAACAGAAGAUUGCCUUCCACCAUCGUUAGAACAGUUUCCAGAUGACUUUUUUACUAAUGAAGAAAGGCUGAAAGGUGGUAUAGUCGUCCAUUUUCUUCUUGUAAUCUACUUCUGUUCAAUGCUGGCAAUCAUAUGCGACAGUUAUUUCGUUCCUUCGCUCGAAAUAAUCGCCGAUUAUUUUAGUGUACCAGCCGAUGUAGCAGGAGCCACGUUUAUGGCUAUUGGUACAUCGUCACCGGAAUUAUUUUCUUCUAUAAUAGGAUCAUUCGUAACCGAAGGUGAUAUUGGAAUUGGUACUAUCGUAGGUUCAGCUGUUUUCAAUAUAUUAGGAGUCGCAAGUAUGACGGGAAUCAUAGUGGGUUCAAAGGAUAUACCUGUCGACUGGUAUCCAAUAACGAGAGACUGUUUUAUGUAUUGCUUGACAGUUUCAGCUUUAAUAGUUAUAAUAAAUAAUAAUAUAGUAACAUGGUGGGAAGCCCUUAUUAUGCUAUUAAUGUAUGUAUUUUAUAUUCUCAUUAUGUACUUUAAUACAAGAAUCGAAGGUUUCUGCACGUUAAAGGUUGAGAAAAUACAGAAGUGGCUCCACAAAGAAAAGCAAAUAGACGAACACACUCCCCUUCUUGGUAAUCAACACUUUCGACCAGAAAUUAUUAUUGAUCCACCCAAACAGCCACAAUCUGAUGGCCCUUUACUUUGUACUGAAGAUGAAUUUUCCAUAGAAGAAGAAAUAGUCGGUAGAAGAACUAGAAGAGAAAGUAAACUCUUAAUUGAAAGUAUAAAGGAAUUAGAAAUCAUUAAAAAAGAAGAAGAAAACCAAGAUUUCGAAAAUUCUUUCCAGUUACGUUUUUCAGUAGUGUCAUAUGGCUCGCAAUUAUUUCUUAUUUAACUAUAUGGAUGGUAACAAUUAUAAGUUAUACUCUUGGUAUUCCUGAUACUGUUGCAGGUAUCACUCUCUUAGCAGCUGGUACGAGUAUACCAGAGAUUAUAUCAAGUAUAAUUGUAGUAAAGAAUGGAUUGGGUAAUAUGGCGAUUUGUAAUUUGUUAGGAAGUA